rnacentral:rRNA from 1 species
CAAUAGCGUAUAUUAAAGUUGUUGCGGUUAAAAAGCUCGUAGUUGGAUUUCUGUUGAGAGCAGCCGGUCUGCACUUGGUGCAUGUAUCUGGUUUGAUCUCGGCAUCCUCUCAAAAUACGUUUCUGCGCUUGAUUGCGUGGAGCGGAGUUUGAGACUUUUACUUUGAGGAAAUUAGAGUGUUCACGGCAGGCAAUCGCCUUGAAUAUAUUAGCAUGGAAUAAUAAUAUAGGAUCUUGGUUCUAUUUUGUUGGUUUCUAGAGCUAAGAUAAUGAUUAAUAGGGACAAUUGGGGGCAUUCGUAUUAACGCGUCAGAGGUGGAAUUCUUGGAUUGCGUUACGACGAACUACUGCGAAAGCAUUUGCCAAGGAUGUUUUCAUUGA